UCAGAGGGGGGUGCAGGAGGUGCGUGAAUAUGAAGGGGGGCAGCGGUUUUCGGAUUUGCUGGGCGUACAGGGUGUGUAGGCGGUUUGGUAUGCCUUCUGUUAAAGGCUCGGGCCCAACCCGGAAAGCGCAGAGGGUACUGGCAGGGUAGAGGGUGGGAGAGGAGCGCGGAAUUCCCGGUGUAGCGGUGAAAUGCGUAGAGAUCGGGAGGAAGGCCGGUGGCGAAGGCGGCGCUCUGGAACAUACCUGACGCUGAGACACGAAAGCGUGGGGAGCAAACAGGAUUAGAUACCCGGGUAGUC
rnacentral:rRNA from 1 species